GACGAACGCUGGCGGCGUGCUUAACACAUGCAAGUCGAACGGAAAGGCCCUGCUUUUGUGGGGUGCUCGAGUGGCGAACGGGUGAGUAACACGUGAGUAACCUGCCCUUGACUUUGGGAUAACUUCAGGAAACUGGGGCUAAUACCGGAUAGGAGCUCCUGCUGCAUGGUGGGGGUUGGAAAGUUUCGGCGGUUGGGGAUGGACUCGCGGCUUAUCAGCUUGUUGGUGGGGUAGUGGCUUACCAAGGCUUUGACGGGUAGCCGGCCUGAGAGGGUGACCGGCCACAUUGGGCCUGAGUUACGGCCCAGACUCCUACGGGAGGCAGCAGUGGGGAAUAUGGCAAAAUGGGCGGAAGCCUGAUGCAGCAACGCCGCGUGCGGGAGGACGGCCUUCGGGUUGUAAACCGCUUUCGCCUGUGACGAAGCGUGAGUGAGGGUAAUGGGUAAAGAAGCACCGGCUAACUACGU
rnacentral:rRNA from 1 species